rnacentral:rRNA from 1 species
GACGAACGCUGGCGGCGUGCUUAACACAUGCAAGUCGAACGAAGAGCGAUGGAAGCUUGCUUCUAUCAAUCUUAGUGGCGAACGGGUGAGUAACGCGUAAUCAACCUGCCCUUCAGAGGGGGACAACAGUUGGAAACGACUGCUAAUACCGCAUACGAUCUAACCUCGGCAUCGAGGAUAGAUGAAAGGUGGCCUCUACAUGUAAGCUAUCACUGAAGGAGGGGAUUGCGUCUGAUUAGCUAGUUGGAGGGGUAACGGCCCACCAAGGCGAUGAUCAGUAGCCGGUCUGAGAGGAUGAACGGCCACAUUGGGACUGAGACACGGCCCAGACUCCUACGGGAGGCAGCAGUGGGGAAUCUUCCGCAAGGGACGAAAGUCUGACGGAGCAACGCCGCGUGAGUGAUGACGGCCUUCGGGUUGUAAAGCUCUGUUAAUCGGGACGAAAGGCCUUCUUGCGAAUAGUUAGAAGGAUUGACGGUACCGGAAGAGAAAGCCACGGCUAACUACGUG